rnacentral:rRNA from 1 species
UACGUAGGGGGCAAGCGUUGUCCGGAUUUAUUGGGCGUAAAGAGCGUGUAGGCGGCCAGACAGGUCCGUUGUGAAAACUCGAGGCUCAACCUCGAGAUGUCGACCGAAACCAUCUGGCUAGAGUCCGGAAGAGGAGAAUGGAAUUCCCGGUGUAGCGGUGAAAUGCGCAGAUAUCGGGAAGAACACCCGUGGCGAAGGCGGUUCUCUGGGACGGUACUGACGCUGAGACGCGAAAGCGUGGGGAGCGAACAGG